AUAUUAUUUUAUAAUUGUAUAAAAUAAUCCAGAAAAAGCACAAAUACGGCUGAGAUGCCAAAUUUAGCGGCUGGAAUUAACUGAAGUAAAGUGAGGACUCACAGACAGCAGCGGCAAUCUACCUGUCACUCAAGUGACCACGCCCUUAAUUAUGCAGAACUUUAAGGCUUAAUAUAAUUUAAACGGAUGAGUUGUAAAAAAAUUCACCCCCCUCAGAGUUGUCAUGAAGGGCAAAAUUAGCAGUAUAGACCAAAACCACAAUUUGUACCAAGCUGUAAACAUGUUUUUUUCUGCUGUAAAUUUGGCCGUUUUAACAUGGGACUCAAUGAGAUUCUGCUCUCUUUUGGAGCCUGUCCCUAGCGGCCAGUCGAUGAAUUGCAGUUUAAGUCACUUCCGUAUUGGCUUCACGAGAAACUGAGGGAGGCUGCUGCUUGGUUUUACUACAUAGGUUUCGUUAUAAAAUAAGUCACACCGCUAAAAUGUUUAUCUCAAUUUGUUUAUCUCAAUUUGAUCGUACUCAGACCUAGCGUCCCAGAUAGCACACAUACAUGUGGCCGACGUCGGCCCCAGAGCGGGACGUCGGCCUCAUAUCUGUAACAUCUAAUAAGGAUCGGCCAGGCAUAGGCGCGUGUCUUCAGUCAGUGCUCUAUUUCCAGCUCGUCGGCUUUGGGUCGGAUCACGACUACAGGCCGAUGCCGCGCUUAUCUGUUUGCGCGUGACCAUUCAUCUCUGCAACCGACGAGAGAAAUGGCGACUCCGGCGACAUCUGUGGUUGUCAGGAAUGAACAAAUCUACAACACCGGAGGGGGAAGAGCUGCUGACAGGAGUAACUUUUACUUUAGGAAACUCAGAUGAGAUGUGAUCCCCAGCAUUUGGCGCUGAGAUUCUUCAGGACAAGGCCUUGAUGCCAUGAAGAUGCCCAUAACUGACAGGCUUUCCUGUGUAAACCAUCAUAUUUAUCCAAAUGAGGUUUGUAAAUGCAUGAAUUCUUUAUAUUUUAUAUUAAUCAUUAAUUUUGAAUAAAAAUUACUUAUAGAAGAAAAUGUGACAAGGCCUCUCACAAAAUGCCAUAUUAAAGGAAUAUUCAGAGUGCAAGUCAAAACUGUUUCUUUUG